AGAGUUUGAUCAUGGCUCAGGAUGAACGCUGGCGGCGUGCCUAACACAUGCAAGUCGAACGGAGUUAUUAUUAUGAAGCCUUCGGGUGGAUUAAUAAUAACUUAGUGGCGGACGGGUGAGUAACGCGUGGGUAACCUGCCUCAUACAGGGGGAUAACAGUUGGAAACGGCUGCUAAAACCGCAUAAGCAUACGCUGUCGCAUGACAGAGUGUGAAAAUAUUUAUAGGUAUGAGAUGGGCCCGCGUCUGAUUAGCUAGUUGGUAAGGUAACGGCUUACCAAGGCGACGAUCAGUAGCCGGCUUGAGAGAGUGACCGGCCACAUUGGGACUGAGACACGGCCCAAACUCCUACGGGAGGCAGCAGUGGGGAAUAUUGCACAAUGGGCGAAAGCCUGAUGCAGCGACGCCGCGUGAGUGAAGAAGUAUUUCGGUAUGUAAAGCUCUAUCAGCAGGGAAGAAAAUGACGGUACCUGACUAAGAAGCCCCGGCUAACUACGUGCCAGCAGCCGCGGUAAUACGUAGGGGGCAAGCGUUAUCCGGAUUUACUGGGUGUAAAGGGAGCGUAGGUGGUUUGGUAAGUCAGAUGUGAAAGCCCGGGGCUCAACCCCGGGACUGCAUUUGAAACUAUCAGACUAGAGUGCAGGAGAGGUAAGUGGAAUUCCUAGUGUAGCGGUGAAAUGCGUAGAUAUUAGGAGGAACACCAGUGGCGAAGGCGGCUUACUGGACUGUAACUGACACUGAGGCUCGAAAGCGUGGGGAGCAAACAGGAUUAGAUACCCUAGUAGUCC
rnacentral:rRNA from 1 species